AAAGUAGUAAGGAAAAACAAAAGGGGAGAGAGAAUUUAACAAAGAUCGCAAUGAGGAAAACGCUUCUUUUCAGCAUCGGGCUUUUCUCUGCAGUCAGAUGCCAACACUCAAAGGUAUGUCUUGGAGCCAAGAGGGAGGACUUACAUCUUCUGCCCAUAUGACACUGGGAAUGAAAACAAUCCUAAAUAUUUCUCUAAGGGUGACUAUGGCACAAGAAAGAUUCUAAUUAAAACCACUGACAAAUUGUGCAAAGAGAGGACACAAAAAGGGAAAUAUUACCUCUGUGAUGACACAAAAAAUAGGAUCCUGCAUGAGGCCAUCCAUGAACUGACCCUGAAUGAUGGACGACAUAUUGGUGUGAAAUAGAUACAUACCUAUUUGAUCCUAAAACAGAAAUCAAACUCAAAGUCCACAAAGCUCCUGCACCUCUCAAACCUCCCCUGGUCACAUCAAAUUUUCAAUAUUUCAACCACAAUUCAAGCCAUCACCAGGAACCAGCAGCAAUCAGAAAGAAUUACAGAUUG